rnacentral:rRNA from 1 species
UACAGAGGUCUCAAGCGUUGUUCGGAUUCAUUGGGCGUAAAGGGUGCGUAGGUGGCGGGGUAAGUCAGGUGUGAAAUUUCGGAGCUCAACUCCGAAACUGCAUUUGAUACUGCCUUGCUUGAGGACUGGAGAGGAGACUGGAAUUCUCGGUGUAGCAGUGAAAUGCGUAGAUAUCGAGAGGAACACCAGUGGCGAAGGCGAGUCCCUGGACAACACCUGACACUGAGGCACGAAAGCUAGGGGAGCAAACAGG